UUCUUUUAUUAACCUAGACAGACUCAGGCGUGUAUUGCUGGGAGUAGAUUUGUGUAUUAUGUUUCUAUUCUUCAGUCUAGGUUAUGUGAAGAUCAAUUUAACUUCUAUGCUCUGGUAGAGAACAUGUGAAUAUUGGUUGAAACCAGUUGGUCGAAUACAAUUUAUUUCUUACAAUGCUUGGAUCUACCUAGUUUAAGGAAACAACAUACUACUCUGUUUUCUAAAUAUGAGAUUAUCUGUUACAAUGUACAUAUAUUGAGCUCCACAUUGCUGAAUCUUAAUAUUCUCAAUUUUAAGUAAAUCUUGUUGUGUUUGAUAUAAGAUCACCGUUACAUUUCCUAGGGAAUGUCAUCAUUUCUCUUUAUUUGGAAAUGAAAACAUGUUUUUAUAUUGAUUAUCUGUGGAAUGCUUUUAUUACUCUAUAAUGUUAUCAAAUUCUUUGAUGUGCUUGUGGAAAUAAUAUGCAGAUUGGCCAGACAUUAUCUUGAGCACCCUUGGGAGAGUGAUUGAGCGGGAGGGGCUGCACAGGUUGCUGGACAGAAGAUGAACAAAAAAGCUCCUGCCUUGGCUUUCUGGUUUGUCGGCUACCUCUCUGUGGCUACGUGCCUACGUCUUGGACUCCAUCGACACCAUGCCCAUAGCGCUGCAGCCUACAUCAUGUUGUACUUGCCACCUGAUCCCCCUCUCUCGUGCUCUUGAGUUGCGUAUUCAUCAAGUGUAUGAUUUAUUUUGAUCCGUGCUAGCCAUUGCAAAUGUAGUGCAUGCAGAAAGGAUUGCACCUUUAGUACCUGGGAAAACAGUCUUUUGUCAGUCAUCUCAUGAUAGCCUGAUACUUCUCUACAAGCAGAAAUUUAUCCUCUAAUUAUUUACAGUGGAAAUUAUUUUUAUUUUGGAUUGUGAACUGCAGAAUAAUGAGAUUCUUUUCAUCUCUAGCUGUGUCCAUUAUCCUGUAGUGAAGAGGCGUUAUCUUACUAUUGCAUGACUAUGAUGUCAAUAAUGAGUAACCAAGCCUAUUCUUUGUUUUGCUUUGAUGUUGCACGGCUAAAAUGGGAAAGAUGGCUGGAUGAGUAAUAUGUUGCUUGUUUCUUUCUUUCUCCUGAUAGGUCUUGACAAAUUCUGGAAAAGAAACAACCUUAACAUGCUACUUCGUACCAUUCCAGGGGAAUUGAUGCAACCGAUACAUGACCGUCUCUCUUGGAUCUGUGUUUGGCUGCUGCUGCAAUGUUGCA